GCGAUGCUUUACAUUGCAAAUAAAGGAUUUGUGCAAGUUAAGCUUCGAGAAUGUAAAUGGAUCCGACACAACUUUGUUAGAUGGUUCUUUCAUAAUCAUCGUUUCGAGCGCGUUUUUUGCCAUGUGUGCCAUAAGUCCCCUGUCAAGGUCAGUUUCUGAUUUUCGAAGUGAAAGAACUGUCGAUCGUGUCAUUUAUGCAAGAGUUGUCACGUAGUCCUUUUAUCGUUUAAAAAUAGAUCUCCAACUGAGACCGAAAAGGAGGCAAAAGAGAGAGAGAAAGAGAGAGAUGAACUCAUCUCCUGAUAUCAUGAUUUUAGGAUGUAUUUAGAUAACAGCAAAUUAAUAUAGCAGUAUCAAAAAUUAUUUAUGUAACAUUGAGAAUACAGAUUUAAAUAAAAAAUAUUUUUUACAUGCAAGAGAAAAA